UACAGAGGGGGCAAGCGUUGUUCGGAAUUACUGGGCGUAAAGGGCGCGUAGGCGGCCUUCUAAGUCGAACGUGAAAUCCCCGGGGCUCAACUCCGGGCCUGCAGCCGAUACGGGCAGACUAGAGUUCGGCAGGGGAGACUGGAAUUCCUGGUGUAGCGGUGAAAUGCGCAGAUAUCAGGAGGAACACCGGUGGCGAAGGCGGGUCUCUGGGCCGAUACUGACGCUGAGGAGCGAAAGCGUGGGGAGCAAACAGG
rnacentral:rRNA from 1 species